rnacentral:rRNA from 1 species
GAUGAACGCUGGCGGCGUGCUUAACACAUGCAAGUCGAACGGAAAGGCCCUGCUCUUGCUGGGUGCUCGAGUGGCGAACGGGUGAGUAACACGGGAGUAACCUGCCCUUGACUUGGUGAUAACUCCAGGAAACUGGGGCUAAUACCGGAUAGGAGCUCCUGAUGCAUGGGGGUGGUUGGAAAGUUUCGGCGUUGGGGGAUGGACUCGCGGGUUAUCAGCUUGUUGGGGGGGUAGUGGCUUACCAAGGGUUUGACGGGUAGCCCGCCUGAGAGGGUGGCCAGCCACAUUGGGACUAAGGUACGGCGCAGUCGCCAACGGUAGGCAAUGGUCGAGAGUAUUGCACAGUAAGCCGGCGCCUGAUGCAGCGGCGUCGCGUGCGGAAAGACGGCCUUCGGGGUGUGAACCGCUUUCGCCUGAGACGAAGCGUGAGUGACGGUAAUGGGUAAAGAAGCACCGGCUAACUACGUG